rnacentral:lncRNA from 1 species
GAGCCAGCAGACUGGAAAUGACAGAGUGCUGAGCUGAGCAGAAGUGUAGCAAGUCACGCUGGUUGGAACCGGGGGUCCCCUGCACCAAGUAGCCCCAGCACCGUCCAAGGUGAUGCUGGCUCUGAGGACCUUUGGGGGCCAGGAAGGGCCACAGUCAAGCUCUGGGGGACUGAAGCAGUGUGAACUGGUGCUCCCCAGCCCUGCCAUUGCCCCUAAGGGCAACAGUGUGACUAUAACCCUCGUGGGCUCUGCUUCCAGGGUGUGGCUCCCACAGAUGCCUUGUGCCAGCUGUGGAUUGGCACCUGCUUCCAGGGGCAGAGCCUCCUGCCCUGUGAUCAUGUUCUGUAGGACGGCAGACGCCAUCCCUGGGGCUUUGAGAAGUGUUUAGUCACACCAACAGGGACGCCGGGGACCAUGUGGGUGCUAGGCAGGGAGGUUUGGGCUGUGGGUGGGCUUUAGGGAAAAUGCUCUCUCCAAAGCAGCUUUAAGCAGCUACAGAGGUGGUCUUUUGUGCUAAGGCUCAGCCUUUCCUAAACCCUCCGCCCGACUUCUGAUCUUAGUGGGGCUGCAGCCCAUGGCAGGUGCAGGUCCUUCUCAACGGUUCUCCAAGCUGUCACUUUUCCUGGCCUAUUAAAUGAAGUGUUGAUUCCUGACAAAUACA